GACACACGUGUUAUAGUCGGUCGCAAAAGCUUCGCCCAAACCACGUGAGCGGAUGGUGAAGGGCACCCCAGCGCCUUCUACCGGCGCACUGAGUGCGGUUGAGCGAAGAGCUGGGACGGAGCUAGUGAUGCCCUCCGUGCCGACGUGUGUCUAGACCCUGCUCCUGAACACGUCUUCGCCUCGGAGACUGUAAUUCGCGCGACUGCAAGUCGAGAACUCAGCUUUCAAACUACGGAGCCGUUUAUUUAGAAGUGACGGGUGAUUCGAGACCAAGCAAGCAGAUCAAGAUGCGACUGGCGCCCACUCGGCAACUGACUUUGCCCAGGAAAUUCCCACGUUCUUGCAAUCACGCUUCCAUCGCCCAUUUUCCCUCGCAGUGAAGUCGUGGUACGACGCCCACGCAGCAGCUGAGUGUUUCAGUCAUCGCCGACGCUCCCCUACAACCUCGAGGAGCCACAGGGUACGACAGCACGUCAGCGCAUCGAUGCCAACCAAAAGGUCCCUCCAAUGGGCAUGCGGAACGUGGGCCAGUGGUUUUCGUGCGUACGCGCGCUUAUCCUCGAGGGACAGCCUUGGGCAGAGGUGCCCGCGAGAGCACCGGGCAAGUAAUGGAACGAGACACCACCGCCAGUGUCCUCGAUGAUCAUCACCGCGGUGCAAAUUCAUGGAUAGCUGACAAGCUGCCCCUGCGCUUCGUGUUCGAGCCGUUUCUACUCUUGGGCAGUCUCCAACUGCACUAACGCCAGCCCCUGUAAAAAGCUUUUAAGGAUUCAUUCGGUGACGCAUUCAGCAUGGAUUCUUCCACUCGAUACUACAAAGCUUUGAAAGACGGAUGAUCCGCUGCGUCUUGAUGCAGCUUUAUAUGGUCGCGCCCCUGGAGGUUACUGCCACUCGAAGCAAGAGCUGCAACAGCAAGUUUUGUCUGGAUGGUUAUACGUCUCGGACAAGCCUGUGCUCUGGAGACAGCUUUUGGGCCUCGCGAGCUCGCAUUACGGCAAGUUGUGCUGAAAAUAUAAAGCACUAUCUGCUGCUUCUCUUGUGCGUGCGUUGUUACGUCUGUUGGAAUCGGAUUUAUCUUACACCAAUAAAUUUUCUG